CGGGGAAGUCGCUGUCCUUACCUUCAACGGGAGCCGGUUCCCUGUGUGUGUGUCCGCUCGCCCUCUGCUCCGUCCUGCGGCUGCCCACUGCCCUCCUACGGUCCACCAUGGCCCUGCUGCACUCUGGCCGCGCCCUCCCCGGGAUCGCCGCCGCCUUCCACCCGGGACUCGCCGCCGCGGCCUCUGCCAGAGCCAGCUCCUGGUGGACCCAUGUGGAAAUGGGACCUCCAGAUCCCAUUCUGGGAGUCACUGAAGCCUUUAAGAGGGACACCAAUAGCAAAAAGAUGAAUCUGGGAGUUGGUGCCUACCGGGAUGAUAACGGAAAGCCUUACGUGCUGCCUAGCGUCCGCAAGGCAGAGGCCCAGAUUGCCGCAAAAAAUUUGGACAAGGAAUACCUGCCCAUUGGGGGACUGGCUGAAUUUUGCAAGGCAUCUGCAGAACUAGCCCUGGGUGAGAACAGCGAAGUCUUGAAGAGUGGCCGGGUAAGCUGAGCAGUCUCUGGCAUCAUCCCAGGUCUAUUUUAACAAAUUUGUAAUUAUUUAAACAAUUUUAGGCCAGGCGCGGUGGCUCACGCCUGUAAUCCCACCACUUUGGAAGGCCAAGGUGGGCAGUUCAUCUGAGGUCGAGAGUUCGAGACCAGCCUAAUUAACAUGGAGAAACCCCGUCUCUACUGAAAAUACAAAAUUAGCCUGGCAUGGUGGCGCAUGCCUGUAAUCCCAGCUACUCAGGAGGCUGAGGCAGGAGAAUCACUUGAAGGCAGAGGUUGUGGUGAGCCGAGAUCUCGCCAUUGCACUCCACCCUGAGCAACAACAGCAAAACUCCAUCUCAAAAAAAAAAAAAAAAAUUAAGAAAUAUGAAAAGAUAACUCAUUUUGUGUGUAAUGAUUGUUUUGAGGAGGCCACACUAUUUCUAAUAAUUCUUAUUUGAUAGUAAAUUGCCAUCAUUAAAUAAAAUAAUUUUCAUGGACACCAAUUCCAAAAA
rnacentral:sRNA from 1 species